AUUUGGUCGUAGACCCGAAACCAGGUGAUCUACCCUUGGUCAGGUUGAAGUUCAGGUAACACUGAAUGGAGGACCGAACCGACUUACGUUGAAAAGUGAGCGGAUGAACUGAGGGUAGCGGAGAAAUUCCAAUCGAACCUGGAGAUAGCUGGUUCUCUCCGAAAUAGCUUUAGGGCUAGCCUCAAGUGAUGAUUAUUGGAGGUAGAGCACUGUUUGGACGAGGGGCCCCUCUCGGGUUACCGAAUUCAGACAAACUCCGAAUGCCAAU
rnacentral:rRNA from 1 species